GUAUUGCAGCGAAAUUGUCUAAACUGGUAUUAACUAUUCCUGGUAAAUCGCGGAGAAGAGUGGCUUGAACAAAAAAGUCAGACCGUGACUAGAACCACCAGCAGCGUAACAAGGAAAUCUCGGAGCAAAGAGACGCAGAGUGGAGCGUGUUGUCCGGUUUGGAUAUCAGCGGCAAAGCGAACGUUGUGUGUACUAUUGCAAAAUAUAUAUAGCGGAUCUCCACGGUUAGGAUACAGAACACAACGCUUUGGACGUAUCUUUAAAAAAGAGAAAAAUCAGAGACUUUUUGGAUUUGUCUGGGACAUUUUAAACAUUUUGUGGCAAAUUGGAUUUAAAACAUUUCGGAUACUGGAUACCCGUGUUUGAUUUGUCCACAGAGCUGGUCGCUUUUUAAAAUCACAAGGGUAAGUGGCUAAAUACAUUUUUUUUUUCAUCGCUCAUAUAAUCCGUUUUUUACUCAUUUUGACUUAGAGUUUUUUCAUUUGUUUUAUUUUUCAUCGUUUAUAUAAUCCGUUUUUAUACUCAUUUUGGUUUAGAGUUUUUCAUUGUU